AGCCUUUAUUGAUUUCAAGGAAGCGUCUGAUAAUAUCUCAAUAAUAUCUCUUUGGGAGCGGAUCCUGUAUAGAGCCAGCUUGAUCUAGUCAUCAAGGAAGCAGGCAAGAAAGCAGGAGAUGCCUGGUGCCUCAAUAACUAAACCAAACCGGCAUACAACAUUUAGCUUUCAAAUGGGGAUACUACAGUUCUACAGUUCUACAAAAGAGAGUUACCAGAUAUGGGAAUUUUCGCACUCAGGAUCCCUGAGCCAUCAAUUUCAGCACUGGCAGAGAAUUCUGGAAAUCACAGAAAAGAAUUUACAGCUUGGACUGGACCCUGAUGAAGAUUUUUCUUUCUACAAUACACUGUCCUUUUAUCUCCACAUCUUCCAUUCUCUAAUAGUGGAGGAAGAGGAAAGAAUAUUUGGAACUGAGAACUUGAAAAACCCAAGCAAUUUGGAGCCCUCAAAGUAGCGAUUCUUCCUAUUCUUCCAGCUUCUAAAGCAGCUUUAUCAAGACAUCGUAGGAGGAGGAUUCACGCCUUGGAGUUUGAUCAUCUCGUGUUCCUUUAAUUAACCUAAAGUGAAAUCCUUUCAAGCUGAGAGCAGAUGUUUAUUCUGCACGAAUGCAAAAGAUAAAAGGCUGCAUGCACAAACAGUAGUUAAAACUACAGACAGCUGGGGCCACAUUCAAAGGUGACAAGACAAACGCCAGUGAACCAAGGUAAAGUUACAGUCAACAAAAACCGAUAGGGCUGAACCAGAUUUGUGCAGUCUAUUUUUUUUAAUUAAAGAAAGAGAAGAGUUUAUCUUAUCCCUGGAAUAUUUUUUUUUUUUUUUUUUGCUGAAAUGACAUUUUGGGGCUACUUUUUAAGUCUAGGUAGCGUUCAUGGUUCUUUUUUUUUUUGACAUUUGGCCAUUUUUUUAAAGUCAACUCCAUUAAUAAAGCCGUCAAGGACUAUGUAGCCAAAAUGAAUACUUCAUGUGGGGUCCUUGGUGCUCUCCAAGCUUGGUUGUUUUCUUGCAGAUGUUUUAUUACCCAACUAGGUAACGUCAUCAGUGCUAGAAGAGAGUGGGGUUUGUUCUCUAUUUAUAUACUGGUGGGUUGCCCUGUCAGGGAUGGUGGGGACAUUCUUGAUGGUUCCUUGAUUAGGCUGUGACUUAUUGGCAGCUUGUUUGUGUGCACUGGUGGCUUGUUAUUUAUUUAUUUAUUUAUUUAUUAAAUGUGUAGUCCACUCAUCUUACCUCAAGGUGACCCUAGUUCUGUGGUGGUGAACCUAUGGAAUGCAUGCCACAGGUGGCACGCAGAACCCUCUCUGUGGGCACGUGCGCCA